AUUGAACGCUGGCGGCAGGCCUAACACAUGCAAGUCGAGCGGCAGCGGGAAAGUAGCUUGCUACUUUUGCCGGCGAGCGGCGGACGGGUGAGUAAUGCCUGGGAAAUUGCCCAGUCGAGGGGGAAAACAGUUGGAAACGACUGCUAAUACCGCAUACGCCCUACGGGGGAAAGCAGGGGACCUUCGGGCCUUGCGCGAUUGGAUAUGCCCAGGUGGGAUUAGCUAGUUGGUGAGGUAAUGGCUCACCAAGGCGACGAUCCCUAGCUGGUCUGAGAGGAUGAUCAGCCACACUGGAACUGAGACACGGUCCAGACUCCUACGGGAGGCAGCAGUGGGGAAUAUUGCACAAUGGGGGAGACCCUGAUGCAGCUAUGCCGCGUGUGUGAAGAAGGCCUUCGGGUUGUAAAGCACUUUCAGCGAGGAGGAAAGGUUGGUAGCUAAUAACUGCCAGCUGUGACGUUACUCGCAGAAGAAGCACCGGCUAACUCCGUGCCAGCCGCCGCCGUAAAAC
rnacentral:rRNA from 1 species